rnacentral:rRNA from 1 species
AGCGAACGCUGGCGGCAGGCCUAACACAUGCAAGUCGAACGAAGUCUUCGGACUUAGUGGCGGACGGGUGAGUAACACGUGGGAACGUGCCUUUAGGUUCGGAAUAACUCAGGGAAACUUGUGCUAAUACCGAAUGUGCCCUUCGGGGGAAAGAUUUAUCGCCUUUAGAGCGGCCCGCGUCUGAUUAGCUAGUUGGUGAGGUAAAGGCUCACCAAGGCGACGAUCAGUAGCUGGUCUGAGAGGAUGAUCAGCCACAUUGGGACUGAGACACGGCGCAAACUCCUACGGGAGGCAGCAGUGGGGAAUCUUGCGCAAUGGGCGAAAGCCUGACGCAGCCAUGCCGCGUGAAUGAUGAAGGUCUUAGGAUUGUAAAAUUCUUUCACCGGGGACGGUAAUGACGGUACCCGGAGAAGAAGCCCCGGCUAACUUCGUGCCAGCAGCCGCCGUAA